GUCCGAAGUAAUCUAUCCCUGUGUAGGAGAACGGUCUGGCGUACGGCGACACUCGAGCUAACGGCAACUCAUUCAUCACUGGAGGUUUAGGUGGUACUCCGUUACAAUCAGAUCGGUGAGCCAGGAUUUUUUGGGAAGAAUAAUUGGCCUCUUCAUGUCAUGGCUUGCGUAACGACAAGCAUCGAUUCUUCCUCGUACUCAUCCCUUUGUACCUGAUUUGUCAUGCAGAAGUAGCUGAUAUUCUUCUGGAAACUCUAAUCGUUGCGCUUCCUUGAUGAUCGAUUGCUC